GAGACCAUGAAGGGAUACUGAUGAAGACAGUGGUGAUGGACAGAGAAUCUGAGGGUCAGGCGCAGUAACUUAUAUACUAAGGAUGCAAAGAGACUCUAACCAGGAUGCCAGUGACACGGAGCAUGAGAUAACGCUGGUCACUACAGUCCCCUCAGACUUGCUCUGACCGUGCAGAAGGACAGACUGACUGGGUUCUCUGGCUUCCUUCAUCCUCCUUUACUCUUGGCAACCACAUCAACCUUUCAAACCACUAAACCUGACUGUUCUAGCCUUGGGCCAAGCCCUACCUCACGCAAGGACUCAAGCUUCAAAAGAACUCACUAACCACAAGAAUGACCUGAAUCUGUUGUGGAGGCUGGGACACUCCCUACCUUUGUCACCUGUCAACAGCUUACCUUGUAAUCACAAGGACAAUUAAACUUCAGCAGACACCUUGGAGUGGGACAUUUAAACUGUAGAGGGCUCCACAUGAGCUUCUGGAUGUAAAUGGGGCCUCCAUAAAACACACUGUGGGGAUGCUCAGAAAACAGGUCUUAUGUAAGGACUAAAAGACACCUGAGAGAGCUAGACCAGCCACACUGAGCAUCCUGCUGUCCGUGGGACCUCUCGGGAACACUUGACAUGAAACUUCUCCUGCCCUUUUGAAGGCCCUUUGACUUCUAUGCCAGUUACUUUUCUGUCACUGCGAUAAAAUUCCACGACCAGAAGCAACUUCAGGAAGAAAGAGUUUCCGGAUCCAGAGGGGCAUAUCCACCAUGGCUGGAGAAGGCACAGAGAGGUGACAGGAGCAAGGAAGGUGGCUGAGCUUCAAUCCUAAGGUUGAGUGAGAGACUACACACUCUCAAAGCCUGUUUCCAUUGAACUUCCUCCAGCAAGACUUCCCCUUUUUCUACACUGCCCCAGUCCUGGAGAACAGUCUCUUAAAUUAACACACGUCACUAAUAAGCGUGCUUUUCCCUGACCGUGCCCUUCCUUCCCCAGCAGUCACCAUGCAAGCUCUUUGAAGUCUUCCCACCUUUCCGAGUCUGCGUCUUCCUUUCUGUUUCUCUCCGAUGCUAGCCAGAGCCUAAUCACCCUUCCUCUGGGUUCCUGGGGCUUUUUCACCUCUCAGAAACACCUCCCAGUUGCCAUGUGGCUGCUUGUUCAUGCCCCUUUCUCUUUUCUCCAUGUCCCUCCUCCAGGCAGCUGCCAAGAUUUACAGUUUGCCGGCCCUACGGUGUGACUUUUCUUUUUAAAUCCAGAUAUAAAAUGUUCCUGAGCUUUAAAAAUAAAUACACUUCCCCUUGAGUUGUCAAUUGCCAAUUUAAAUUGUCAACACCUAGCUAAUUAUGGUUGAGUCUGGCCAGACUGGUUGAACAGAUGGAUGGAUGGAUGGAUGGAUGGAUGGAUGGAUGGAUGGAUGGAUGGAAGAAA
ensembl:lncRNA